UACGAAGGGGGCUAGCGUUGUUCGGAUUUACUGGGCGUAAAGCGCACGUAGGCGGAUUGGUCAGUUAGGGGUGAAAUCCUGGAGCUCAACUCCAGAACUGCCUUUAAUACUGCCAGUCUCGAGUCCGGAAGAGGUAAGUGGAACUCCUAGUGUAGAGGUGGAAUUCGUAGAUAUCGGGAGGAACACCAGUGGCGAAGGCGGCGACCUGGGCCGAUACUGACGCUGAGGUGCGAAAGCGUGGGGAGCAAACAGG
rnacentral:rRNA from 1 species